rnacentral:rRNA from 1 species
AGAUGAGUUCUCCCUGACCCUUUAAGGUCCUGAAGGAACGUUGAAGACGACGACGUUGAUAGGCCGGGUGUGUAAGCGCAGCGAUGCGUUGAGCUAACCGGUACUAAUGAACCGUGAGGCUUAACCUU